rnacentral:rRNA from 1 species
GACGAACGCUGGCGGCGUGCUUAACACAUGCAAGUCGAACGGAAAGGCCCUGCUUUUGUGGGGUGCUCGAGUGGCGAACGGGUGAGUAACACGUGAGUAACCUGCCCUUGACUUUGGGAUAACUUCAGGAAACUGGGGCUAAUACCGGAUAGGAGCUCCUGCUGCAUGGUGGGGGUUGGAAAGUUUCGGCGGUUGGGGAUGGACUCGCGGCUUAUCAGCUUGUUGGUGGGGUAGUGGCUUACCAAGGCUUUGACGGGUAGCCGGCCUGAGAGGGUGACCGGCCACAUUGGGACUGAGAUACGGCCCAGACUCCUACGGGAGGCAGCAGUGGGGAAUAUUGCACAAUGGGCGGAAGCCUGAUGCAGCAACGCCGCGUGCGGGAUGACGGCCUUCGGGUUGUAAACCGCUUUCGCCUGUGACGAAGCGUGAGUGACGGUAAUGGGUAAAGAAGCACCGGCUAACUACGUGCCAGCAGCCGCGGUGAUACGUAGGGUGCGAGCGUUGUCCGGAUUUAUUGGGCGUAAAGGGCUCGUAGGUGGUUGAUCGCGUCGGAAGUGUAAUCUUGGGGCUUAACCCUGAGCGUGCUUUCGAUACGGGUUGACUUGAGGAAGGUAGGGGAGAAUGGAAUUCCUGGUGGAGCGGUGGAAUGCGCAGAUAUCAGGAGGAACACCAGUGGCGAAGGCGGUUCUCUGGGCCUUUCCUGACGCUGAGGAGCGAAAGCGUGGGGAGCGAACAGGCUUAGAUACCCUGGUAGUCCACGCUGUAAACGGUGGGUACUAGGUGUGGGGUCCAUUCCACGGGUUCCGUGCCGUAGCUAACGCUUUAAGUACCCCGCCUGGGGAGUACGGCCGCAAGGCUAAAACUCAAAGGAAUUGACGGGGCCCCGCACAAGCGGCGGAGCAUGCGGAUUAAUUCGAUGCAACGCGUAGAACCUUACCUGGGUUUGACAUGGAUCGGGAGUGCUCAGAGAUGGGUGUGCCUCUUUUGGGGUCGGUUCACAGGUGGUGCAUGGCUGUCGUCAGCUCGUGUCGUGAGAUGUUGGGUUAAGUCCCGCAACGAGCGCAACCCUUGUUCACUGUUGCCAGCACGUUAUGGUGGGGACUCAGUGGAGACCGCCGGGGUCAACUCGGAGGAAGGUGGGGAUGACGUCAAGUCAUUAUGCCCCUUAUGUCCAGGGCUUCACGCAUGCUACAAUGGCUGGUACAGAGAGUGGCGAGCCUGUGAGGGUGAGCGAAUCUCGGAAAGCCGGUCUCAGUUCGGAUUGGGGUCUGCAACUCGACCUCAUGAAGUCGGAGUCGCUAGUAAUCGCAGAUCAGCAACGCUGCGGUGAAUACGUUCCCGGG